rnacentral:rRNA from 1 species
UACGAAGGGUGCAAGCGUUACUCGGAAUUACUGGGCGUAAAGCGUGCGUAGGUGGUUUGUUAAGUCUGAUGUGAAAGCCCUGGGCUCAACCUGGGAAUUGCAUUGGAUACUGGCAGGCUAGAGUGCGGUAGAGGAUGGCGGAAUUCCCGGUGUAGCAGUGAAAUGCGUAGAGAUCGGGAGGAACAUCUGUGGCGAAGGCGGCCACCUGGACCAGCACUGACACUGAGGCACGAAAGCGUGGGGAGCAAACAGG